rnacentral:rRNA from 1 species
UACGAAGGGGGCUAGCGUUGUUCGGAAUUACUGGGCGUAAAGCGUGCGCAGGCGGCCUUCCAAGUCAGGGGUGAAAGCCCAGAGCUCAACUCUGGAAUUGCCUUUGAGACUGUGAGGCUUGAGUACGGGAGAGGUGAGUGGAAUUCCCAGUGUAGGAGGUGAAAUUCGUAGAUAUUCGCAAGAACACCAGUGGCGAAGGCGGCUCACUGGCCCGAUACUGACGCUGAGGCACGAAAGCGUGGGGGAGCAAACAGG